UUUCUCAUCAAAAAAUAAGUAUCCUGUCUUUCCUUCCAUCAGUAUGUGACCAGGCUCGCUCAAUUCCCUGAGCUGUUUCUCCCAUGUAGGCUUCAUUGUUCGGGUUCUUUGCUUCUCUGGAUGCACAGUCACCCCGGCUCCUGCCAAGAUGUCAACCUGUCCUUUAAAGCUUUGAAGCCAGACAUUGACAUCUUUAGCCACUAAAGGCCUAGAUGGUGUCUUCUUCCAGUAGAAGUCUGUUUUGUCUCUAUUGAAAAUCUGUUACUUAGUGUAGUUACCUUCAUCAAAACUAAGCUCAGUUUUUCUGCCGGUAUUUCCAAAAUGUAAGUCAAACAUACUUUGUUACUUAGAUGAUUUUUAAAUUGUGUUAAAUAUUUAUAGGGGGAAAAGUUGCUACUCUAAGGUAACUAUACAAAAAGAAGCUAUUAGGUUUUCCAAAUUUGGGAUACUUCUGUGCCCUCCUCAGUGUCAACACAGGUCUUUUAUGGCACAAAACCUUUGCAUUCUAAUUGUUUCGCAUGCUUGAUAUACCUCCUUCAGUAACCUGAAGGUGAUUUACCCACCUCAGUCCCCACUGCCUAAGUCUAUGACUUCCAAAUUGCUCAGUAAAUGCUGAGUGGAUAUUUAGUAAGAAACCUAUGGACACUGGGGACAAAUAUGUGUUCAUUAAAUAUGCAUCAUAUACUCUGCAAGCCACCUGGCCUGGUCUCUUCAAAAAGGCAGUAUUGGCCAGGUUGGGUGGCUCACGCCUGUAAUCCCAGCACUUUGGGACGCCAAGGCAGGCGGAUCACUUGAGGUCAGGAGUUCGAGACCAGCCUGGCCAACAUGAUGAAACCCCAUCUCUACUAAAAAUACAAAAAAAAAAAAAAUUAGGCAGGC
rnacentral:lncRNA from 1 species